CUUGAAGAGAAGCUUGCUUCUCUGAUGGUUAGCGGCGGACGGGUGAGUAACACGUAGGCAACCUGCCCUCAAGCUUGGGACAACUACCGGAAACGGUAGCUAAUACCGAAUACUUGUUUUCUUCGCCUGAAGGAAACUGGAAAGACGGAGCAAUCUGUCACUUGAGGAUGGGCCUGCGGCGCAUUAGCUAGUUGGUGAGGUAACGGCUCACCAAGGCGACGAUGCGUAGCCGACCUGAGAGGGUGAUCGGCCACACUGGGACUGAGACACGGCCCAGACUCCUACGGGAGGCAGCAGUAGGGAAUCUUCCGCAAUGGGCGAAAGCCUGACGGAGCAAUGCCGCGUGAGUGAUGAAGGUUUUCGGAUCGUAAAGCUCUGUUGCCAGGGAAGAACGCUUAGGAGAGUAACUGCUCCUGAGGUGACGGUACCUGAGAAGAAAGCCCCGGCUAACUACGUGCCAGCAGCCGCGGUAAUACGUAGGGGGCAAGCGUUGUCCGGAAUUAUUGGGCGUAAAGCGCGCGCAGGCGGUCAUUUAAGUCUGGUGUUUAAUCCCGGGGCUCAACCCCGGAUCGCACUGGAAACUGGGUGACUUGAGUGCAGAAGAGGAGAGUGGAAUUCCACGUGUAGCGGUGAAAUGCGUAGAUAUGUGGAGGAACACCAGUGGCGAAGGC
rnacentral:rRNA from 1 species